AAGAAAUUUUUGGGAAUUUUGUUUAUUUAAUUUUUUAAAUAAAUAUGAAUAAAAAAAUAUUUUAAAAAAGUAUUUUUUUUCAAAUUAUUUAAUUUAGGAAAAGGGAAGGUGAAAUAUUAAACAGAAAUGGGAGGGAAAAUUGAGAAAAGAAGAUUUAAUUUGUUGUACCUUUUGUAUCAGGGUGGGAGGAGAAGGAUCCAUUAUUAUGUGGAGUUUCCCGAAAACGAAGGAUUUAAUCCCUUUUUAUAUUCUUUCAAUUGCAUUUGCAUUUUUAAAUUGGGGUUGGAAAUGAAAAGUUUUUCGUCUUUUGUAUAUCUGGUUUCCUUGAGUGUAUUGUUUUUAAGCAAUAGAGAAAAUUGGGAUAAUAAUUCUAUUUUUUAAUUAUUUCUGGAGGGAUAAUCUUCUAGGAUAAAGAAGUUCUUAUACUGUAAAGUAUUACAAGCGAACUUGGAAAAGUAAUUUUAUAAUUAAGUGGAUAGAGAAAUUAAUUUAUUUUUGAAUUUUUUUAUAAGAGGGGGAAAAAUUAAAUGGAAAAACUUUUUAUCAUUAUCUAUUCAAUUAGUAGAAGGGAUAAUUUGUUUUUAGGAACUCGGCAAACAUAUUAGAUCCUGCCUGUUUAGUAAAAACAUCUCCUCAUUUAAUUAUAUGAGGUAUGACCUGCUCAAUGCGAAUGAUGUAAAUAGCCGCAGUACUCUGACUGUGCAAAGGUAGCAUAAUAAAUUGGCCUUUAAUUGAGGUCUGGAAUGAACGGUUCGACAAGGAUUUGACUGUCUUGGGAUAAGAAUUUUUGAAUUUAAAUUGUUUGUAAAAAUGCAAACAUAAUAGAGAGGGACGAGAAGACCCUAUAGAUCUUUAAAAAGUUAAUUUAAUAAUAUGUUUUGGAUUAAAUUUUUUUUAUUUGGGGAAAAUCCUGAAAUAAGUUUACAAUUAAACUUCGGUUAAUUUGGAAGAAGAAAAACUUAAUUGUUUAAGUUUGAUCCACAAAUAGUGAAAAGAUGAAAAAGUUACCUUAGGGAUAACAGGACAAUGAUCUUUUAUAAGAGACCCUAUCUUAAGAGACGUUUGUUACCUCGAUGUUGAAUUAAGUUAUCUAACUAAAGGAGAAAUUUUUGAAGUUGGUCUGUUCGACCAUUAAAAACUUACAUGAUUUGAGUUUAGACCGACGCAAGUCAGGUCAGAUUCUAUCUUCUCUAAUUUUAUCCUUUCUUUUGUACGAAAGGAUCAAGAAAGGAGUUUAGUUUAUAACUAAAGUUUAAAGUUUUUUAUUUGUGUAA
rnacentral:rRNA from 2 species